rnacentral:ncRNA from 1 species
UGAUAGACGUUGAAGGGAUGAGUAACCGGUACGUCGCGUGCAGAGAGCCAAUGGUUGGUGCGAGUUGGUCGCGGUACGCCGGUGAAGAUGGUCCUGGAGUCUGCCGGCUGGCGAGCAUAUACAAACCAGCCCCGGUUUCGUGCCCGUUAACGCACGCGAGUAUCGUAUUCCUAUGGCGGAUACCGUACUUACUAAGUGGGCCGUGGUGACACGACUCAGAACACGGGUGGUAACACGACCAGGUCGUCCCGGAA